rnacentral:rRNA from 1 species
UGGCGGACGGGUGAGUAACGCGUAGGGAUUUAUCGUUGGGUGGGGGAGUAACCCUGGGAAACUGGGGCUAAUACCGCAUGACGCCUGUGGGCCAAAGUUGUAAUGGCGCCUGACGAGAAGCCUGCGUCCGAUUAGCUAGUUGGUGGGGUAAGGGCUUACCAAGGCAUCGAUCGGUAGCUGGUCUGAGAGGAUGAUCAGCCACACUGGGACUGAGACACGGCCCAG